AACGAACGCUGGCGGCAGGCUUAACACAUGCAAGUCGAACGCCCCGCAAGGGGAGUGGCAGACGGGUGAGUAACGCGUGGGAAUCUACCCAUCUCUACGGAACAACUCCGGGAAACUGGAGCUAAUACCGUAUACGCCCUUCGGGGGAAAGAUUUAUCGGAGAUGGAUGAGCCCGCGUUGGAUUAGCUAGUUGGUGGGGUAAAAGCCUACCAAGGCGACGAUCCAUAGCUGGUCUGAGAGGAUGAUCAGCCACAUUGGGACUGAGACACGGCCCAAACUCCUACGGGAGGCAGCAGUGGGGAAUAUUGGACAAUGGGCGAAAGCCUGAUCCAGCCAUGCCGCGUGAGUGAUGAAGGCCCUAGGGUUGUAAAGCUCUUUCACCGAUGAAGAUAAUGACGGUAGUCGGAGAAGAAGCCCCGGCUAACUUCGUGCCAGCAGCCGCCGUAAAAC
rnacentral:rRNA from 1 species